GACGAACGCUGGCGGCGUGCUUAACACAUGCAAGUCGAACGGAAAGGCCUAGCUUGCUGGGUACUCGAGUGGCGAACGGGUGAGUAACACGUGGGUGAUCUGCCCCUGACUUUGGGAUAAGCCUGGGAAAAUGGGUCUCAUACCGGAUAUUCAUUUUUCCUCGCAUGGGGAUUUGUGGAAAGCUUUUGCGGUUGGGGAUGGGCCCGCGGCCUAUCAGCUUGUUGGUGGGGUAAUGGCCUACCAAGGCGACGACGGGUAGCCGGCCUGAGAGGGUGAUCGGCCACACUGGGACUGAGACACGGCCCAGACUCCUACGGGAGGCAGCAGUGGGGAAUAUUGCACAAUGGGCGCAAGCCUGAUGCAGCGACGCCGCGUGAGGGAUGACGGCCUUCGGGUUGUAAACCUCUUUCAGCUCCGACGAAGCGCAAGUGACGGUAGGGGCAGAAGAAGCACCGGCCAACUACGUG
rnacentral:rRNA from 1 species